UGUCUUCGGGGCAGGGUGAAAUUCCCGACCGGCGGUAUAGUCCGCGAGCCUCCGCCCGACGGCGGGGCACGAACCGGUGCGAUUCCGGUACCGACUGUAGAGUCAGGAAGGUAGAAGACG
rnacentral:ncRNA from 1 species